rnacentral:misc_RNA from 1 species
AAAGAAAGCCAGCAAAAUUGCAUUAAUUCUUUGAACAACACCGAAUUCCUCACAGGACAUAUGUGUAUACAUAGUAGGCAAAUUCCUCACAUGAAGAGCUGAACAAAAAAAUCAUAUCUAAAAGCAGCAUGUUUAUACAUACAAGUAUCUUCAAGUUUCAUCUGUAUGAGAUGGAUUUCCUGGCAUGGCUUCUGUGGAAGAUGCUGAAGUAGAACUCUCACCACUUUGGGAUGCUGACAAAGAAAACAAUCCUUCAAAAGGCCAUGGAACAGGGAUCCGAUACCUUCUCCCGCUGCCUAUUCCUUCCCCUCCCACUCCGGUCAUAGCGUCAUUGUUCUCCAUUCUCCCCUCAUUGCUUCUUGAGCUAUUUGCUUGAAUCUUGGAAUCAUCAGAGGGCAUUUGGAACCUGCAAACUGGGCAAGAACUGUGAAUCUCCAGCCAGGGAAGAAUACACCCACUAUGGAAUUUAUGUUUACAUGGCAUCUCUUUUGCUUCAUCUCCAAUAUCAAACUCCUCCAGGCAAAUUGAACACUGCAAACUCUGCUCAACAGCAACAGUUGGCAUUGCUUGAACUGCUUCCUUUUGUGCAGGAGGAGUCCCAUAGCGGUUAGGAUCAUUUUCUGACAAAUGCUGCAGCAAUAAAUCCAAACCAGGCCCUAUAAGGUAGUCCCCCAAAGAACUUGCCAUAUUGCGAAUUGGGUUUUCGGAUUGGUUCAUUUCAAAAGGACCUUGAAGAACUAAGGCCUCUUCAUUGAAAGGAUUAACCAAAAUCACACUGUUACUGUUGUUAUUGCUACUGUUACUCUGCCCAUUAUUUUCAGAAUUCUCUGAACCCGAACGAAGAUCUUGAAGCAUACCAAGGAUUGAAGCCGGGCUUCUCCUCCUCCUCGUCCUCCUAAACAAGGAUCGAAACUCACUCUCGAGUUCACCAUUUUCUUCUUGUGCAUUGCUGCCAUUAUGUUCUUGAGCUCGUGCACGAGAAGGACCUAAACCACCCAUCAAACCAAGCAAGAUCGGAGCCCACAGAGAGAAUGCACGUUCUGAUCCAAAAUCAAUGCCAUCGUUAUUGAGGUCUCUUGUGCUGUCCACUUCUUCCACGAACCCGCUUUCACACACUGGGCACUUAAUCUCAGCUUCCAUAACCGGAGUCACCAUCCUGGAGCACAUGUGACACCAGUAUCGAUCAACCAUUGCAUCCCCCAUCCCCCUUUCUCUAUGAGCCAACCUGAUCCAGUUGUAAAAAAAAAAAUUAAUCAACAGAAAUAAAAGCAAGAAACCAAGAUACAUAUAUACAGAAAGAGAAAGACCAACUAAAAGCAGAUUGUUUGAAUGUCCAAGAAGCAAGCAACAUCCAAAAUUCUAACCAUAAUCACUGGUUUUAUGAUUCUUUAAGAAAGUAUAUACUUAGGAUCAUGAUCAUCUUCUACUUCUAUUACCCAAAAUAACAGAGGUAUCAAAAAGUAAAGAUGAUUUAUACCCUCUUCCAAGAGUAAAUCUACUUUCCAGAAUACAUAGGAAAUGAAGCAAUUUACAAUUCUGUCAUGUCAGAAAAACAGAAGGAUCUUCUGUUCCUCUUG